AUUGAACGCUGGCGGCAGGCCUAACACAUGCAAGUCGAACGAGUGGCGGACGGGUGAGUAAUGUCUGGGAAACUGCCUGAUGGAGGGGGAUCACUACUGGAAACGGUAGCUCAUACCGCAUACCAUCAGAUGUGCCAAGAUGGGAUUAGCUAGUGGGUGGGGUAAAGGCUCACCUAGGCGACGAGCCCUAGCUGGUCUGAGAGGAUGACCAGCACCUCUGUAACUGAGACACGGUCCAGACUCCUCCGGGAGGCAGCAGUGGUGAAUAUUGCACAAUGGGCGCAAGCCUGAUGCAGCCAUGCCGCGUGUAUGAAGAAGGCCUGCGGGUUGUAAAGUACUUUCAGCGGGGAGGCGUUACCCGCAGAAGAAGCACCGGCUAACUCCGUGCCAGCAGCCGCGGUAAUUC
rnacentral:rRNA from 1 species